GAUGAGCGCUAGCUACAGGCUUAACACAUGCAAGUCGAGGGGAAACGAUAUUGGAAGCUUGCUUCCGAUAGGCGUCGACCGGCGCACGGGUGAGUAACGCGUAUCCAACCUGCCCACCACUUGGGGAUAACCUUGCGAAAGUAAGACUAAUACCCAAUGAUAUCUCUAGAAGACAUCUGAAAGAGAUUAAAGAUUUAUCGGUGAUGGAUGGGGAUGCGUCUGAUUAGCUUGUUGGCGGGGUAACGGCCACCAAGGCGAGGAUCAGUAGGGGUUCUGAGAGGAAGGUCCCCCACAUUGGAACUGAGACACGGUCCAAACUCCUACGGGAGGCAGCAGUGAGGAAUAUUGGUCAAUGGGCGAGAGCCUGAACCAGCCAAGUAGCGUGCAGGAUGACGGCCCUAUGGGUUGUAAACUGCUUUUAUAAGGGAAUAAAGUGAGAGUCGUGGCUCUUUUUGCAUGUACCUUAUGAAUAAGGACCGGCUAAUCCCGUGCCAGCCGCCGCGGUAAUAC
rnacentral:rRNA from 1 species